rnacentral:rRNA from 1 species
UGGGGCAUAUUGCACAAUGGGCGCAAGCCUGAUGCAGCCAUGCCGCGUGUAUGAAGAAGGACUUCGGGUUGUAAAGUACUUUCAGAGGGGAGGAAGGGAGUAAAGUUAAUACCUUUGCUCAUUGACGUUACCCGCAGAAGAAGCACCGGCUAACUCCGUGCCAGCAGCCGCGGUAAUACGGAGGGUGCAAGCGUUAAUCGGAAUUACUGGGCGUAAAGCGCACGCAGGCGGUUUGUUAAGUCAGAUGUGAAAUCCCCGGGCUCAACCUGGGAACUGCAUCUGAUACUGGCAAGCUUGAGUCUCGUAGAGGGGGGUAGAAUUCCAGGUGUAGCGGUGAAAUGCGUAGAGAUCUGGAGGAAUACCGGUGGCGAAGGCGGCCCCCUGGACGAAGACUGACGCUCAGGUGCGAAAGCGUGGGGAGCAAACA